CUGUCAAAGCGGCGGUGAAAUG
rnacentral:miRNA from 1 species